rnacentral:rRNA from 1 species
CCCAGACUCCUACGGGAGGCAGCAGUGGGGGAUAUUGCACAAUGGGGGAAACCCUGAUGCAGCGACGCCGCGUGGGUGAAGAAGCGCCUCGGCGCGUAAAGCCCUGUCAGCAGGGAAGAAAAUGACGGUACCUGAAGAAGAAGCCCCGGCUAACUACGUGCCAGCAGCCGCGGUAAUACGUAUGGUGCAAGCGUUAUCCGGAUUUACUGGGUGUAAAGGGAGCGCAGGCGGCGCGUUAAGCCUGGUGUGAAAGCCCGCGGCCCAACCGCGGGACUGCAUUGGGAACUGGCGCGCUGGAGUGCCGGAGGGGUAGGCGGAAUUCCUAGUGUAGCGGUGAAAUGCGUAGAUAUCAGGAGGAACACCGGCGGCGAAGGCGGCCUGCUGGACCGCGACUGACGUUGAGGCUCGAAAGCGUGGGGAGCGAACAGGAUUAGAUACCCUAGUAC